rnacentral:rRNA from 1 species
UACGUAGGGGGCAAGCGUUGUCCGGAAUCAUUGGGCGGAAAGCGCGUGUAGGCGGCCCAGUAAGUCCGCUCUGAAAGCCCGGGGCUCAACCCCGGGAGGCGGGUGGAUACUGCUGGGCUCGAGUCCGGAAGAGGCGAGUGGAAUUCCCGGUGUAGCGGUGAAAUGCGCAGAUAUCGGGAGGAACACCAAUUGCGAAGGCAGCUCGCUGGGACGUGACUGACGCUGAGACGCGAAAGCGUGGGGAGCAAACAGG